GCGUUAUCGUUUGCACCAAUAGAGCUGAGCUCAGCAUUCUGGAAAAAAUUAUGCCCUCUCCACAGUAUUUUACGACCUGCAGUGCAGUAGUCGGCAGGGUCAUUCAGCCCAGGGCUUGUCUGGUUCUUUCGGGGGUUGUAGACUCUAUUUUCUACCUUACAGUCCCUGCUUCAGGCCAACCAGGAGAGAUUACAUUCAAUUCAAUCAUCCUUAGCCCAGCAGUUGUCCUUUUUUACCAUCUGUUAUCAUAUCUCCUCUCUCCCGUCUGCCUGGGCUGAGAGGGAGGGAGGAGCGGCUCUCAGAUCUGCGCUCUGACUCAGGCAAUAACAUGUUAUAUAUGACCAGGAAUGGAGACAGAUGUCUGUGAAAGAUCAUUCCCUGGAUUGAAGAAGGACUCUGGGGAGGCAAGCCUCUUAAUGGCUCUCGUGUCACAUAAUGUGCUCUAUUUUAUCUUCAUUGCAAAACACUCAUUGUUCUUUUGCUCACUUACUGCCUUGAGCAACCUUAAUCAUCAAAAUUUGAAAUGCUUUGGCCAAGAGUGUCACAAUUUUUGGCAGAUCAACCCUCAUGUUUGUCUCCCUGAGGCAGUGCUGCUUGUCGGCAGUCACAGAUAUAGGGAAAGAGCCCUCGUAUCAUGACAAGGAGUACGCUCUGUCUCACAAGCAUGGAGAGAGCAUUUUCAGGGGAUGUGUGUACUUGUACGAUCCGGUACAUUUUCCUACCUGCAGUGUGUGCUGUCAGCUGUAGUAUACAAUAAGCCUAUGUAAUACAGGCAGCUCAUCACUCACCAUCGCCUGUGUGAAUAUGUGCACUCUGGGAGAAAAAAGCAAGCAGCCAUUGCUUUCACAUCUUCUUUUUGUUUAUGUGCAAAUUUUCCCAUAAUGUCUACAUAAUGUUGGUUGAGAUUUACAGAGAUUAAAGAAUAUUUAAGUAGUGGAGUUCAGUCUUUCUAUUGUCAAUACUUCAUAUUUUAAAUAUAAGAAGACACCUUGUUAAUUCACAAUUCUGUAAAAAAUCCAUAAGAAAUUCUGGAAAAGGUAAUUGUAGCUAUUAAAUUCGUGACACCUUGACUGGUGCAUAAUCACCAUAAUCAUGUGCUGCUGUUAGAAUCUGCCACUGAAACUGUUACAAAUAAAUAAAUAAAAUAAACUGUUUGACAUUUAAUAUUUUAAUUAUACACCUCCAGCUGAAUGCC